GACGAACGCUGGCGGCGUGCUUAACACAUGCAAGCCGAACGGAAAGGCCCUGCUUGCAGGGUACUCGAGUGGCGAACGGGUGAGUAACACGUGGGUGAUCUGCCCUGCACUUCGGGAUAAGCCUGGGAAACUGGGUCUAAUACCGGAUAGGAGCCAUUUUUAGUUUGAUGGUUGGAAAGUUUUUUCGGUGUAGGAUGAGCUCGCGGCCUAUCAGCUUGUUGGUGGGGUAAUGGCCUACCAAGGCGGCGACGGGUAGCCGGCCUUAGAGGGUGGACGGCCACAUUGGGACUGAGAUACGGCCCAGACUCCUACGGGAGGCAGCAGUGGGGAAUAUUGCACAAUGGGCGAAAGCCUGAUGCAGCGACGCCGCGUGGGGGAUGACGGCCUUCGGGUUGUAAACUCCUUUCGCUAGGGACGAAGCUUUUUGUGACGGUACCUAGAUAAGAAGCACCGGCUAACUACGUG
rnacentral:rRNA from 1 species